CAGACUGCAUGCAUUGCCUCCUGCCUCCGCAGAGCCAAGGGAGUGACAUUGCACAAGUCCUCCUGCCCGAUGCACCUCCUCGCUAAAGCAGUCACCUCACAGAACUGUGUGCGCAUGAAAUGAGGAAGGCUCAUGCUAAGACCAAGAUGGGCCAGUGACUGUAUCCCCAGCAGGGAGCCAAGUACCUGCAGCCCUGGGCCCCAGCAGCACUCAGCAAUGGAAAAACAUCCUCAGGCUUCAGCUGUGUUUCAGCUCCAGGCCCAGAGAAGCAGCAAAAUCAGACAGAGGGACGCCAUGGCUGACGUCAGGAUGAGCUGUAGUGCCUAAUGACCCCCUGACCUAGCACCGACCAGUCAAGAGGAGACCAUGACCCUGAAAGGACACACCUGGAAAGCUGAUGAAAAUUCCACUGGGAUCCUCCCCUGAGAACUCCAGAUAAACACACCUAGGAUGGAGGAGCCAGCUCCAUCUCUGGAGCACACCCUAACCUUUCCUUCCUCUUUCAUUUCUCUCUCUCUCUCUCUCUCUCUCUCUCUCUCUCUCUCUCUCUCCUAUAACUUGUUUCCUGAGCCCAUUUCCCCCCCCUAUGGCUCUCUUCUUCUACUCCUGAGACUUCCUAAAUAAACUCACUCUUAUAAUUCGAGUCUUGGCUCUGAAUUCUUUCUUAGCCAGAGAGAGCUCCAGAACUGAGGUUGAUGAACUGAGGUCUAAGACCUAUUGCCAUUUUUCUCUGUUAACAAAA